rnacentral:rRNA from 1 species
CCUCCUUCGGGGGGCAAGUAGAGUGGCGCACGGGUGAGUAACACGUAGGUAAUCUACCUUUGGAUUGGGAAUAACCAUCGGAAACGGUGGCUAAUACCGAAUAAUGCAGCGGCACCUAAUGGUGACAGUUGUUAAAGCGGGGGAUCGAAAGACCUCGCGUCUGAAGAGGAGCCUGCGGCAGAUUAGCUAGUUGGUAGGGUAACGGCUUACCAAGGCGAUGAUCUGUAGCCGGCCUGAGAGGGCGGUCGGCCACACUGACACUGACAUACGGGUCAGACUCCUACGGGAGGCAGCAGUCGGGAAUUUUGGGCAAUGGGCGAAAGCCUGACCCAGCAACGCCGCGUGAAGGAUGAAAUCCUUCGGGAUGUAAACUUCGCAAGAACGGGAAGAAUAAACCGGUGUUAACAUCACCGGUGAUGACGGUACUGUUUGUAAGCUCCGGCUAACUCCGUGCCAGCAGCCGCGGUAAUACGGGGGGAGCAAGCGUUGUUCGGAUUUACUGGGCGUAAAGGGCGCGUAGGCGGCCACCGCAAGUCGAUUGUGAAAUCUCCGGGCUUAACCCGGAAAGGUCAACCGAUACUGCGGGGCUAGAGUGCAGAAGGGGCAACUGGAAUUCUCGGUGUAGCGGUGAAAUGCGUAGAUAUCGAGAGGAACACCUGCGGCGAAGGCGGGUUGCUGGGCUGACACUGACGCUGAUGCGCGAAAGCUAGGGGAGCGAACGGGAUUAGAUACCCCGGUAGUCCUAGCCUUAAACGAUGAAUGCUUGGUGUCUGGGGUUCUAUAGUCCCCGGGUGCCGUCGCUAACGCUUUAAGCA